rnacentral:rRNA from 1 species
UUCCGGUUGAUCCCGCCGGACCUGACUGCUAUCGGAUUGAUACUAAGCCAUGCGAGUCUUUGUAGUAAUACAAGGCAUACGGCUCAGUAACACGUAGUCAACCUACCCUAUGGACGAGAAUAAUCUCGGGAAACUGAGCAUAAUUCUUGAUAGAUCAUAAUGCCUGGAAUGGUUUAUGAUUAAAAUGAUUCGUCGCCAUAGGAUGGGACUGCGGCCUAUCAGCUUGUUGGUGAGGUAAUGGCCCACCAAGGCGAUUACAGGUACGGGCUCUGAGAGGAGAAGCCCGGAGAUGGGUACUGAGACACGGACCCAGGCCCUAUGGGGCGCAGCAGGCGAGAAAACUUUGCAAUGUGCGAAAGCACGACAAGGUUAAUCCGAGUGAUUUCUGCUAAAGAAAUCUUUUGCCAGUCGUAAAACCACUGGUGAAUAAGGGGUGGGCAAGUUCUGGUGUCAGCCGCCGCGGUAAAACCAGCACCUCAAGUGGUCAGGAUGAUUAUUGGGCCUAAAGCAUCCGUAGCCUGCUUUGUAAGUUUUCGGUUAAAUCCAUGUGCUCAACGCAUGGGCUGCCGAAAAUACUGCAUAGCUAGGGAGUGGGAGAGGUAGACGGUACUCAGUAGGUAGGGGUAAAAUCCUUUGAUCUAUUGAUGACCACCUGUGGCGAAGGCGGUCUACCAGAACACGUUCGACGGUGAGGGAUGAAAGCUGGGGGAGCAAACCGGAUUAGGUACCCGGGUAGUCCCAGCUGUAAACGAUGCAGACUCGAUGAUGCAUUGGCAUAAUAGCCAUUGCAGUGUCGCAGGGAAGCCGUUAAGUCUGCCGCCUGGGAAGUACGUACGCAAGUAUGAAACUUAAAGGAAUUGGCGGGGGAGCACCACAAGGGGUGAAGCCUGCGGUUCAAUUGGAUUCAACGCCGGA